rnacentral:rRNA from 1 species
GUGUCAGCAGCCGCGGUAAUACGUAGGGUGCAAGCGUUGUCCGGAUUUAUUGGGCGUAAAGAGCUCGUAGGCGGUUAGUCACGUCGGAUGUGAAAACUCAGAGCUUAACUCUGAGCCUGCAUUCGAUACGGGCUGACUAGAGUGUUGUAGGGGAGACUGGAACUCCUGGUGUAGCGGUGAAAUGCGCAGAUAUCAGGAAGAACACCGGUGGCGAAGGCGGGUCUCUGGGCAACUACUGACGCUGAGGAGCGAAAGCGUGGGGAGCAAACAGGAUUAGAUACCCCCGUAGUCC